AAAAAACACAAUAUCCAAUCCCCUUAGCUACAAAUACAACAACACCAAAUUCCUUCAUCUAUCCCAUUCUACAACUCUUCAAAAAUCCUCAACAAAACAUUCCCUUUUUUCACAUAUAAAAAAAGCAAUCAACUUUCAACUCCCCAGCAGCUGAAAUCACUCAUUCACUCCUCUUUUUUCUUGAAAAUUUGAGGUGAUUCACUA
rnacentral:misc_RNA from 1 species